GACGAACGCUGGCGGCGUGCUUAACACAUGCAAGUCGAACGGAAGGGCCCUGCUUUUGUGGGGUGCUCGAGUGGCGAACGGGUGAGUAACACGUGAGUAACCUGCCCUUGACUUUGGGAUAACUUCAGGAAACUGGGGCUAAUACCGGAUAGGAGCUCCUGCUGCAUGGUGGGGGUUGGAAAGUUUCGGCGGUUGGGGAUGGACUCGCGGCUUAUCAGCUUGUUGGUGGGGUAGUGGCUUACCAAGGCUUUGACGGGUAGCCGGCCUGAGAGGGUGACCGGCCACGUUGGGACUGAGAUACGGCCCAGACUCCUACGGGAGGCAGCAGUGGGGAAUAUUGCACAAUGGGCGGAAGCCUGAUGCAGCAACGCCGCGUGCGGGAUGACGGCCUUCGGGUUGUAAACCGCUUUCGCCUGUGACGAAGCGUGAGUGACGGUAAUGGGUAAAGAAGCACCGGCUAACUACGUG
rnacentral:rRNA from 1 species